CGCCGUCGCGCGGGAGAGUUCCGGGCAGAUCUGUAUGUGCUGCCCGGGCGCCGAAGGAGCAGCACCUCCCCGUCAAUCUCUCAGGCACCCAGGACCGUGCGGGCUCC
rnacentral:ncRNA from 2 species